AUUGAACGCUGGCGGCAUGCUUUACACAUGCAAGUCGAACGGUAACAGGCCGCAAGGUGCUGACGAGUGGCGAACGGGUGAGUAAUGCAUCGGAACGUGCCCAGUCGUGGGGGAUAACUACUCGAAAGAGUAGCUAAUACCGCAUGCGAUCUAUGGAUGAAAGCGGGGGACCGUAAGGCCUCGCGCGAUUGGAGCGGCCGAUGUCGGAUUAGGUAGUUGGUGGGGUAAAGGCUCACCAAGCCAACGAUCUGUAGCUGGUCUGAGAGGACGACCAGCCACACUGGGACUGAGACACGGCCCAGACUCCUACGGGAGGCAGCAGUGGGGAAUUUUGGACAAUGGGCGCAAGCCUGAUCCAGCAAUGCCGCGUGCAGGAAGAAGGCCUUCGGGUUGUAAACUGCUUUUGUACGGAACGAAACGGCUCUGGUUAAUACCCGGGGCUAAUGACGGUACCGUAAGAAUAAGCACCGGCUAACUACGUG
rnacentral:rRNA from 1 species